rnacentral:rRNA from 1 species
UACAGAGGGGGCAAGCGUUGUUCGGAAUUACUGGGCGUAAAGGGCGCGUAGGCGGCCAACUAAGUCAGACGUGAAAUCCCUCGGCUUAACCGGGGAACUGCGUCUGAUACUGGAUGGCUUGAGUUUGGGAGAGGGAUGCGGAAUUCCAGGUGUAGCGGUGAAAUGCGUAGAUAUCUGGAGGAACACCGGUGGCGAAGGCGGCAUCCUGGACCAAUAUUGACGCUGAGGAGCGAAAGCCAGGGGAGCAAACGGG